UACGUAGGGUGCGAGCGUUGCCCGGAUUUACUGGGCGUAAAGGGCGCGUAGGCGGCCAGCACAAGUCAGUUGUGAAAUCUCCGAGCUUAACUCGGAAAGGUCAACUGAUACUGUGCGGCUAGAGUGCGGAAGGGGCAACUGGAAUUCUUGGUGUAGCGGUGAAAUGCGUAGAUAUCAAGAGGAACACCUGCGGCGAAGGCGGGUUGCUGGGCCGACACUGACGC
rnacentral:rRNA from 1 species